GCAUGGGUGAGAUGUGUCUCCCACAAAUCUUAUACGACAUUGGCAUAUUACCCAUCUGACA
rnacentral:snoRNA from 1 species